rnacentral:rRNA from 1 species
GAUGAACGCUGGCGGCGUGCUUAACACAUGCAAGUCGAACGGUGAAGGCGGAGCUUGCUCUGCUGGAUCAGUGGCGAACGGGUGAGUAACACGUGAGCAAUCUGCCCCUGACUCUGGGAUAAGCGCUGGAAACGGCGUCUAAUACUGGAUACGAGCUGCGAAGGCAUCUUCAGCAGCUGGAAAGAAUUUCGGUCAGGGAUGAGCUCGCGGCCUAUCAGCUUGUUGGUGAGGUAAUGGCUCACCAAGGCGUCGACGGGUAGCCGGCCUGAGAGGGUGACCGGCCACACUGGGACUGAGACACGGCCCAGACUCCUACGGGAGGCAGCAGUGGGGAAUAUUGCACAAUGGGCGAAAGCCUGAUGCAGAAACGCCGCGUGAGGGAAGACGGCCUUCGGGUUGUAAACCUCUUUUAGCAGGGAAGAAGCGAAAGUGACGGUACCUGCAGAAAAAGCGCCGGCUAACUACGUG